AUUGAACGCUGGCGGCAGGCCUAACACAUGCAAGUCGAACGGAAGAACGGUGCUUGCUUGUGGUUUCAGCGGGGGACGGGUGAGUGAUGCCUGGGAAUAUCCGUGGCUGUUGUUUAUAAGGUCCUGACGCAGGGGCUCAUACUGCAUUAGUGCAGAGGGUGAACGUGGGGGAUCUUCGGAUCUUACGCUCUUGCGUGAGUCUAGGUCGGAUUAGCUAGUUGGUGGGGUAAAGGCCUACCAAGGCGACGAUCCGUAGCUGGUCUGAGAGGAUGAUCAGCCACACUGGAACUGAGACACGGUCCAGACUCCUACGGGAGGCAGCAGUGGGGAAUAUUGGACAAUGGGCGAAAGCCUGAUCCAGCCAUGCCGCGUGUGUGAAGAAGGUCUUCGGAUUGUAAAGCACUUUAGGUGGGAAGGAAGGGCAGUAGGUUAAUACCUCGCUGUUCUGACGUUACCAACAGAAUAAGCACCGGCUAACUUCGUG
rnacentral:rRNA from 1 species